GUGUUAUCAACAUUAUUCUCAUACUGAACCCAAAACACAACACUGUACCAGCUACUAGAAAGAAAAUUAACUCUAUCCCAGCUGAAACCAGAACACUACCACGUGCAAACUAAUGUCAGGGCUAGCUAGCCCAAAACACCCCAGCAGCAGGGCAUGUUGGGUGUAUUUUCAGGGAGUCCACCCCAUGUGAGGGAGGGCACAGAGGAAAGGAGAUGACAUGUCUGAUAUGCUACCAAGUAACUGAGAAAACCUGGCACCCUAGGGCUGGCAGGAUGUAAGGGGGAAACCUUCAUCACAGAUAAGAGGAAAAGAGGGAUAGGGAAGGAACUCACAGCAGAAGCAGCAGCUUCUUAAACUGUUAGGCAAUUCCUGCAACAGCUGCAGGAUGAAUUGACUAUCUACUGCCAAGGAGAUUUGUAAACUACCAAGAAUGUGCCUAACAGCUAACAUGGCCUGGGUUCCUAUACGUGCUCUGCUGGCUACACUUUCUUUGCUCAGAUGCUUUUCGCACACUGCCUGGUGUUGCCCAGGGCUGUCAGCUUGAGUUGUAUAGGUGUUUGUUUCCAAGCAGCAAGGUCUGCAUAACACUGUGCAGCCCCUUACAGAGAUACCACCAUAGGUCCUGGCAGCAGUGCAGUUUCAUUAGUGCUGCUUCUCUCUGGAGUUAAUUAGGGUAAGUGCUAGAACGAGUCAUGGUUGCAGAGCUAGCUCCCUUACAGACAGCUUCCUCGUCUCUGUACUGCUCUGACUGAACAGGGUAGUGACAGCUAACAUAGAAAGGAAAAUGGCAAGUUGCACAUGUUCCAGCUCACUUCUGACUUCAGAAAGGCUUGCAAUUCCAAUGCACCUCCUACACCAGCCACUCAGAGAUGAGCUUCAUCUUCCCUGAUAAGAAGGUAUAUCUUCUUUGGCUCUGCCUUCUUUUUGUGCUAUAGGAGGAAUUAAAAAAGAAAGACACACUGGUCCUGCAGAUUGUGAAGGGUUUAUCAUCUCUGCACAGACCAUUUUGGAGAAGUCCAAGCUGUACAGCCUGCAGUGGGCUGAAGCAGUCUCUGAAGUGGACAAGCAGGUCAUCUGCUGCAUUCAGCCACCUCUGUAACACUGUUAUUCCUCUGAACUCAUCAACACAACUAAACCAAGACUAUACCAUUUAUAUAAACAAAUUAAUCUCUGAAGCUUCCAAGAUACAAAGAAAUAUUUGACAGCUGGGAACCAAAGAGAUUAAGGAAGAGAUUUUGCUGCCUAAAACCAGAGCCUUCUGCUAAUCCUCCAGGCAUGCCUUGCAAGCUCUGCUGCUUUCAUGGUCCAACCCUUCCUGUUUUGCAACAGCUCUGUCAUCAGCAAUAAUGAAAACAAAUGCUUUCUUCCCUCCACUCAGUGGCCCAUCAGCAGAAGUCAGUGAGAUCUCCAGGGAAGCCAGUUGGCAGGACAGCUGCAGGUUCUGCUGGCUUAGUUAACAGGCAUCAUGCAAGAGGAUUAGGCACCCAGUUCUAGAAUGGGGCAUCAGUCUGCCCUUUCCAGCUCUAAAGGCAUCAUCCCUUGCUACAGGGCCUAUCCAUUCACAAUGCAAACCAGCUGAUGGACCUGGGAACUGCUGUGUUUCUGACUCUCUUUUGUCCUGUGAAGAUACAAAGGAGUUAACCUUUGCAGGAGGCAAAGAUUAUUGCUUCUUGGUUGCUCUGUCAGUGAAGCAAUGCAGCAUUUACAGUUCCUGGCUGUAGUUAGACCUCUGAAAGAUACAACUGCUACUCAAAGAUCACAGGUAGCACUCAUCCAUCACCUGGAGAUACAGUAAAGAGAGACAGGCCAAUCUGUAGUAAGCAAGUUUAUUUCGUCUCUUCUGACAUCUAUAGAUUAGUCAGCUGCCAAGAAGAUACAAUAAUGUGCUUCACCAGGAGUUACUUUCUGAACUCAUCAGGAAUUGUUGAUGAGAUGAGCACAUGCUGAAGCUGUUGCUGGUCCCUGUCCCAGUGGCCACAUCCCCACUAAUGAAGGAGCAACGCUGAGCCUUUACUGUGUGUCGGACUUGGAGCAUGCAGAAAACCCUCUUCAUGCUGAGGCUUCAGGCAGGAGACAUGUGCCCUCCCUUCCCCAAUUGUCAUCUGUUCCCGAGUUGGUUCAGGCAGCCACUGAUCUGGAUGAAUGAGCCAGAUUCAGUGCAGUGAGAGAAGCAUCUGCCUGACUCAGGCCACCAAACAGCAUCUGCCACUGGCAUUGUUUCUGAGUGAUGCCAGAGAAAGGACAGGACCCGAGGGGUAAAAGUUUCUUCUUAGAACUUGAGGAUUGUCUUUUUUGCCUCACCCCAGCAGCAGUGCUUUACAGACACAACUAUAAACAGCUACUGCAUGUUAAGAAUCCAGCUGGCAUGUCUACCUAGAGGGUAAAUUGUUGGUUUUCCCACACACACUCCCCAAAGGUAGCAAAAGAGCUGCUUCAUCUGCAGAUCUGUGUCAGCACAGGCAGUAGGAGCUGUCAGCCAGCCCUGGCAGACCUGCAAAAAAAUCAGGUCACCCUCCCUGCUCACACCUUUGGGUGAGCAGCCUUCCUAGGCCUGGGAAAUAAGAAUCUCAGGGUUUUCCUCAACAAUAAUUUUUCCAUGGCCUCAAAGUGCUGAUUAGGCUGUGCUGUCCAUGUAGGGCACAGAAGGGAAGGCAAGUAGAUGGAAAAAAAAUGCAAUCACUUCUUCCAGUGGCACUGUGUAAAAUACCCCGCUGGGAUUUCCCACCACUAGGGAGUGAUCCACUUUGAUUAUCCUGGCCCUGAUUAUCUCCUACGCCUCCUUUUACAUUAGAGCAGUGUAAAGAGGCCAGGAAAAGAUCUGGACACGAUCUUCUUCUUAGGGUGCAAUUCUUCAUGGGGUGCCUUAGCACAAACAUCCCAGGAAAGAUGGAAAAGGAAGCACAUCAUCAGCCAGCAUCUCAGUGGCUCACAGACAGCAUGCUAUCGACUGCUUGAGGGAGCACAAAUCCAUUUUUGUCUUUUUUUUUUUGGCCCAGAGAAAAAAAAGGAGAAAAAAAAUGCAAUUUAACCUGUGUCUGCAUCACUUCAAGCAAACCAGUCCAUCCAGGCACACAGUAACUUCACUCACAAUUUCAGGCUCAGAACCAGACAUUUCUAUCCAGGCCAUCAAUAAGUUUUGGAUGGGGAGCCACAGUGGACAACAGCGUCUCAUAGCUAUUGUGGGCUUCAUCAUAAGGUGUCAGUAUUAAGCCUUCCACUACCUCAUCCCCUGCUAGAAAAAUAAUUUCCUUGCAUGGUGUCCGAUUACCCAAGUGACAAAACCUCAAAGGCAGUUCAGAGAUAACAGGAGUCAGUGCAGGCCAAUGCCUUUAAAGAGACUUUCCAUCCUGUGUUAAGCUCAGUAAAAAUUAAUUGGGCCUGAGGGGUCAAAUUUUUGUAAACACAUUUAGGUACAGUUAGUUAUCUAAUUCCCAGAGUUGCCUGUGAAAAACUCACCUAAGGCUUAUCUGAAUCCUUAGGUACUUAAAUACUUUUAAAUAACCAUUCCAAAAUCUUGAAUUCUGCAGUCAGACAGAACACUUGAGCUGUCAUUUACAAAUCCUGUUUUUUCCUAAUAAUGGGAUUACUGGAGGAGUUUUGCAGUAGCUUUGAGAAAAGUCAGUCUUUCAUAUCUGUACUUUCAUCUUUUAAACUGGGGGAGGGAUGUACAAAAAAAUCCAUCUUAUUAAAAUAAACAAAGCCUAUUUGUGUGAAGAAACUGAACCAGUUUUCAUUACCAUCCUGUACACAAAGCAAAUAUGACAGAGAUUCAUACAGUUCAGUCACAUUCAAGUGACAUUGAUUAGUUUGCUGUUCUGUGGAUUGCACACAAUUUUGAGGGCUGUGUUUGCUUCCUUAUGGUUUAACGGCAAUUUUAGGUAACCUUGUUCCUUGUGUGGUUGCUUUAUGUCUAAAAUAUUUGCAAUACAGGCUGGCAACAUCAUCUCAUAGAUGCCUAGAAACGUUGCUUAAUUCUGUUAAGACACAUGGUGGCAUUAAACGGCAGCAGAGCUCACCAGGAAAAAGAAAUUAGAUUGCAGUUUGCAAAGGGAGUUGCAAAAAAGGCUUGCUGGGUGACGAUCCCUUUGCAGGGAGAUUUGGCUGGACUAGCUUUCCUGAGGGCUGCUGAAGGACUAGGCUGAGGUUAUGGAUACAAGAAUCAGCUCCAUUCACUGGCUCCAUGAGCUGCUCGGGCAAGUAUGAUGUCCUUUGCCAGAGAGAGGCGGAGCGGUCUGGGAAUGAACGAGGAAUUAAUACAAGUAAAGCUGUGAGGGUUUCCCCAGGUCGAAAGAUGGUUCCCAAGGAAACUCCCCCACUUGACCAUGUGACAAAUCUCCUGGGAUAUACGUGACAUAUGCAGUCUGAUGUCUUCACUGCAAGCCUGGAACAUGUGGCCAGCAAUUGCUCGUGCUGCCCCAGCACAGCAGGAGCUGAGAUUAGCGGGCACUUCCCAAAGCUGUUUUUCUGGCAAACUCAAUUCCUUGACCCCUUCUGUGAGAAAGCUUCACAGAUCAAGGAGGCAGUGUGCCUCCCUCUUCAAUGCCAGAAGGAUUCGCGUGAGGGAGAAAUAAGCGAACUGACUUGCCAAAGACAGAGGAGAGAGCAUAGAAAUUAUUUUCAAUCUGUGUUUUUGCAAGUGCAGGGAGAGGCUUCCACUGCUCCACUUCCAUGGAGUUGCACACUGCCAGACUCAGGCCAGCUUCUGAAACUCUGCCGGUUAGCACUUUGAGCAAAAAAUAAUUUUAAGCAUCUUGUAAAACUCUUCCCUGAAAGAGAAAGAAAUGUUUUACUUUCUCCUGUCAAAUUGUAACCAUAUCUCAGGAGAGAAAUAAAUGUGUUUUGGCACACAACGAGGUCAGGCUGCAUUUUGAUGGCACUGUUCACACUUUGUCCCUGAAACAGACUGAGCAUUUGGCAGAGCAACACAAUUUAUUACUGAAUGAGAAGAUGUGAAGAACAUUUGGGUUUAACCUCUCCACCAACAGACGUUUUAAAAUACUCCUAGCAAGCUGCUCCUUUCUGAUAGCAAAAUACUAUCAGAAGUUGGUGGUACGCUGCUCUUCCCAGGAUCUAGUCGCUGUAGUAGGUCAGAGCAAAAAUCAGGCCAGGCUGGGGUCCCUUGAUAGGAGACAAUGGCUGAUGUUUCAGGUAACAUGUCCCACAAUAUGAUUAUGCACACUGCAAAAAUCAUUAUUCACUCCCUGCCCAAUUAGAUGGCAUGGGGAACUGCAGUACACUCUUUUCUGGCCCUGGCAUGAACCAUUGCCAGCGGUGUGCAGGUGAUUUACUGAUGCUUCUAGGAAGCUCCUGUGCACAUACCCGUCAUCUGAAAAGAGGCCUCUCUCCUCAUCCCCUCCCCAGCGUCCCCCUCCAUGCCAUCCGUGUUACUGAAAACAGAGAUUUUUUUGUCCUUAAAUGGCUACAGGUGUGGGUGGAGCCUGGUGGGAGCCCUGCUCAGCAUCCUGCCCUGCUCAGCAUGGGAGCACUUGCACCAUGUUCCACAAAGCUAAUAUGCUCGACAUGGCACCAUGCCUUUGGCUUUGCUCAGUUGAGCUAGUGCCUGAAAGGAAAAAAAGUGAAGGGAGUGAUCAGAGAAAGUGUGCAGAAGUCUCCUACUCUCUUUUCUUUUGUUUAUUAUCACGUCUCUUUAACACACCCAGGCUGUCCUCAGGAAACCUGUGUUCUCCACCACCACCCUGCACAGUUUGGGGAGAAAACAGGGCAUCAGCUCGAAUUCCAAAAGCAAGGAAAAACCUGCAACACAUGGGCUUGCUAAUUAUUUAGAGCCUUGAAUAAAAGCUUGGCAUUUUCAGGCAUUGCUAAGGGCAAGGUGGAUGCCUGCUCAACCUCUCAUUCCCAGGGAUUUUUAGGUGCGGAGCAUGGCAUGUAUUUCUAAUGUCAUUGGGCUAUAAAAAGAAGUGUGUGCAUCACCCCACGGCUCCCUAGGAGUGAAUAAGUGAUGAGAUUGGAAGUGUCAUCCAAGACAGGCUCAUGCAGCCAGAUGUCACUGCUGCUUCAACACCACCACAGAUCCCUCAGUGUUGAAGAGGGUGACAUAUCUGCUGUUUGCAGAUGGGUAGGAGGUAUUUCCAGGCUGCUUUAGUAUGUGAGUGCCAAUAAUCCUACGGCCUCCCUGAGCCAGGCAGUGCUGCUGGUUUCUGCCAACAUCAUGCCUUUGGGAGCUAACCCAAGGCCUGCUUCAGAAGCAGAGGGACUAGAGAAGGUCAGUGGGCGUUUCUAUGUCCAAUGUGGUCUCUGGGGGCAGGAAGACCAAAGCACAGGUAGCUCAGGGACUGCAUUAAGUGAGCUGUGUCUGUUAAACACAGUUUCAUGUGUUCUGGGACCACCUAGGGCUCUGUUAUGCAUCCCACCGCCAUCCUGGCCUGGAUCUUCAAAGCCCAGUUCCAGAAGGCACAACCAGAAUUUCAGCUAAAGACAUGGAAAUAAGCCUCUUGCACUGUAUUGCUUUGAGGUCUUUCUCCCACAGCAGUCUUUCAGAGAAACUAGAAUAUGGAGCUAGGAUUUAAUGUGAAAAAGAUAGGGUAUGAAUCUACCAGUCACCCUUGUAGAGCUCAGCGGGUGGGACAUCAACACGUUACUUUGUAGCAAGCUGACUUGUGUUUUACCCUCUUUCUCUGCAGAAGAGAUGCUGGCCCCCCUCUCUCUCCUUCCAGCCCAUCCUUCUCAGUAAUGCACUGUAACCCAUGACCUCUUGGACAAAAGAUGAGAAUACUAAUUGCUUGGAAACAUUCCACAGAAAGUGGACGUUAAGUGGACUAAAGCUGAACAGCAAUGGAAAUUACAACAUGGACAUCAUCAGAAUCCAUCACAACUAAUGAGAUUAGAGGGGAUACCACAAGAAUUCUUAAUGAUCUACUCUGUGCCCCAAAAUUUUUAUCAGUGCAUCUGAACCAUGCUUUGCUCUUCUCCCGCCCUCUACUUGCACACUUUGAAGAGUACAGACAAGGGAGGACCCCAGGAGCCUUUCAUCCUACUCUGUACCUCUCUUAUACAACCCUUGUUUCUAAUUAUAUGCAGACACAACAGCAAUGGCAAUGACUUCAUAGUGAACCCCCCUAAUGAAUAAAUCAUCCUAAUUUCAAGGCAAAGUUAGCACAACCAUCCACUGUGUCAUUUCCAUGAAUCACAGUGAUAAAGGGCCAUGCUUGUUAAGACAUUGCUUAUGCAAAUGCAAUACAGCACUAAUGAAUGUAAGCAAAGUCCUACAGUGCCAGGACAAGGCAGGCUUGUGCCAAAACUCCUAGGAAGCGGCUGUUGCUUUGUUCAAAGGAAUAAGUGAUGGGCUGGGGCAGAGAGGCUCUCAGGAGCCUGGGACUGUACUAUUCAGCUAUUUCAGAUCCAAGGUUAUGGUCCUUAUUCUUUAGGAACAUGCUUUCAUACCAAAUAUUUCUGAUUUAUAAGCAGCAAGGCCUCUCUCUGAGUUCCUGGAAAUUGUGAUAGGGGAGAGGAUACUCUGAACCAGGAUGGUCCAAAGAUCAGCUCCUUUGUGAUGAGAUAGCAGCUUAUUGGGAGUGCAGUGUAAGGUGCUGAAAAAGACCUACAAUACUUUGGAUUUCUUUCAUUAUUCUCCAAAGCCUAAUCUAAUUUAACAGCUCACAAAGCAGGGCUUUGCUGAGGAGGUAUCUCUGUUUUCAAGCAGAUCUCAUUGUUAUUGUGUCUGUACUGAUAUUCGAUACCUUGAUGUUAUUGUUUAUAUUCUCCAGAAGCCUAUAAAAGAGGUCUAGAGCCAAACAAGGGUUAGUCCUGUGGUGCUAGAUGAUUUAUGGGUAAAGUGUAAGAAAAGGCCCUGCCACGAACAGCCAGAUGGGCAAAAUAGCUGGGUGAGGGAUAGGAUGGCAGAGAAAGACAGAAUGAUUUCCUCAAGGUCACACAAGUCACAGCACAAAGCUGGGAAUAGGCUUGAUGACUCACAGGGAAGUGCAGUAUAUUGUCCUGCUGAUGCAGAAGUCUCUGAUAUCCCUGACUAACACACCACAUGAAAUUAUUUCAUGCUCUGGAAUUCUAUGGCACCAAGUAUCAGCCAAAAAAGGUCUAAAACAAUGAAUGUAACUCAAUAUAUGCCACCAAAGGUUUUCUGUUCCCAAUAGGUGCCAUGCACAAUUGAUUUUCAUUUACAGUUGCUUUCUUUGUUAGAUGAUGUCAUGGAUUAUUUCUCUCUGAAAGCCUUAAAUGAUACAAAGCACUUGAUGAGUCAUUGGGAAAACCAGUCUUCAUGUCUAGCUGGUGCAAGAAGAAAGGACCAUAAAUUCCCUACCCUCAGUGUUUCCAAGACUUGAAAGCAAUUGCAUUGGUCUCAUACAGUGAAUGCAGCUCUCCCACCAUUCCCAAGUCAUGCAAUCAAGCAGUUAGUACUUCACUGCUUGGUAUUUGGUUUCAAAGCCUACCAGUGUCACUCAUUGCUCCAGAAAUGAGCACCUGAAGGCACCUUGGACUGGUAAUAUUUGACUGUGCCUCAGUUGGCCAAGGCUGGAGCAGAGGUGCUGUUCAGUCUGCAGCUGAGCCAGUGAAAGGCAUAAUUUUCCCUUGCAUAACACUAUUGGAGCGUUUGACCUACUAAGGUCUGCAUUGUCACAACACGUGUUGGUACCCCCAACGUAGUUCUGUAUUUUAUUAGGUUCAUGCAAUCCCCCUUUGGAGCCUCAAAACAAAGCGAAAACAUGCCUCAAGCACACUGAUAAAGGGCUUUUGAAUGGAGAUAGAUGAAUCACACACCAUUUCACAAUUAGCACUUUAAUUUUGAACAUUAAUUAGGGCACUGGUGUUUGGAGAGUUUAGUUCUCAUCGACCCACUUACAUUGUUCAGAGAAGGCCUAAAGAGAUACUGAAGUUUGCAGAGAAAUCAAUAGGAAAAAUGAAAAGUCAGUACCAGCUGCAGCCCAUGAACUGAAUACUGGUGACCUGGGAAAUGCUUCACGAAAAAAGACUUGCUUACUAGAGCAUGGGAAGAAGCAGUAUUUCAGUUACAAUACCAUGACACUAAAGAAAUAUAGGCACACUGAAGCAAGAGAGUGGUUUCAUGUGCAAGGCACAGGAUAGGCUACAGAUGGGAAUCCACAGCCCAGCUUUGGUUCACUGAAUAGUUCUCCUAGGCACUAUUACAGUUAUCUUAGUGAGCUCUAACAUCCUUUGAAAACAUUAUUCUUGUGCAAGAGAAAAAAUGUUACCUAUUUGGAGGUGUAAACACAAUACCUAAAGCCAAAAGUCUGUAAAGAGGCUUGGAUGUGAAUUCAUUAUGAAUACACUCUGAUGAAAUGAGAUUUACUGGCUCUUCUUUAUGUAAGGAAGUGGAAUGAAAUCUGGAAAUAAAAACAGAUGGAGAUCAGCACAUCCCAGCCAUAAUAUAAGCAGGUGUACUACUAAGCAGUAGCUACAGGUGAAGCAACGAAUUUAUUUAUUCUAAAGAAUUACAGACACUGAAAACACCUGCUACUUUCCAGAAAGAUAAAAGCCAAGAGAAGAUAUAUCCUCCCAGGCCACCAAAAGAAGAAACUGAAUUAUGAAGAAGUCAGCUGAACAAUACACCUCCAUCAUGGCAAUAGCAGAGUGACCUUUAUCAUAUUCUGAGGACCACCUUGUAUAUCAGUGAGAAGACAGCAAGGACAUCCCUGCAGCAAAAGCAUCCAAAGUAGGGUUUGGAAUACAGAUAGCAUGUUAAGUUUUGCAGGUUGAAUGGGAGUUUUAGGGAGCAAGGAGGACGUUACCAGGUCACACUUGCUACAGCCUUUCUGGCAUGUAAAUGAGGACUUUCCUCUUUCAAGUUUCUCAUCUCAGUAUGCAGGAGGCAAUAUGUCUCACUCCCUCCCCUUUUUCUGUCCCCUGGCACAGAAAAGGCAAGACCUCAAACCCUGAGAAUUUGCAUUGGAUACCGCUGCUGGAAAACACACAGCAGAUUGGAGAGUUGCAUGAGUGUACUUUAUUUUACUUUAUGUAGGGGAAAAAAAAAAAAAAAAAGCUGCUGUAGAGAGCAGUCUUAUUACUCAGUACUCUGCAUGGUGUUCGACUUGAUUUAAGUAGCAGAAACCUUAAUUAGGGCUCUGAACAGGCUUUCUAAUAGUGCAGUUCAAACUACUGGAAAAGAAACAUUUGUCUAGUCAAAGCAAACAGAAUUUGAUUAGUUUCCCUGAGGGACCCAGGGAGUGAAACAGGAAUGACACAGAGGAGACACUAAGUCCAGCAGGACACAGCUGGAUGAUUCCUCUCAAACCCGUUAUAUAUUUUAAAACAUCUGUCCAGACUGCAGUGAGCCUUCUAGCCUACAGAUGCAAAUGAUAAACUGCAAGUGAAAUCUGUGGAAGAAAUGAAAAUUACAAGCUAGAUUCUCCCUGGGAUCCUGAUCUGCGCGAGAGCAAACCCAUCAGCUUGAAAGGGUUAUUUCAGAUUCAUGAAGCUGUAAAAGAACUCGGAAGAAGGUCUUAGGAGCAAAAUUAUCCUGGAUCAUGGUCAUUUACAGAGGCAAAAGCUUGCAACAUCAGAGCUGCCUGGUUCAAAGCAUCUGUUUGGAGAGGCUUUUUGGAAACAUGCCUUUUAUACAUGGCCUCUAAAACUUUAGCACUGACUGUGCACAAUAACACAUUCCAGAGCAUCUGUAGUUCCCUCAGCUACACAAGAAAUACUUGAGAAUCAAGCAGAAGAAAAAUACUAUCUUGCUGCAGUACUGGGAAGAAUAGCAUGGAGAUAGUGGAAAGCAAUCAGUGGAUGCUGAAUCUAACUACGUGGAAUGGAAGUGAAGUUGAUGUGAAAAGCAAGUUUUAUGAAGAAACAUGUCCUUGAACCACCACUUACAGGUUGUCUUUGAUUUGCUUUGAUUGCAAUGAACGCCGGGGCAGCGCGAGGAGCACCGCUGGCGGGACACACGUGGGCAGGUAGCGGCUUGUCUGAGCCGGGGGGGGCGUUCCCAAGCAACCGACCCGCUGAUUGGACGACACAGACAGCAGGGGGCGGAGCCCGCACCGGAUAGCGCGGGAGAUUUAAGCGGGGGAAAGCAAUCAGCCCAGCUGAUUGUAAGGGGCGAGCAUAGACGUAUUUCCCAGCGGGCAGCGUGGUGACCAUCCUCUAAAAAAACCAGUGUCCUCUGCUUCUAGCACCUGGCAGAACCAGUGCAGCCACAAAGAGCGAGCUCCUGUUCCUGCGUGCGACCACCCAGGUUUCUGGCUGUGGGAUUUGUGAAGGGAUAUUCCCAGAGGUGGAAAGGAUAUCGACAUCUGUCUCCAGGACUGGUGCCUCUGCCAAAACUUUGGGAUUUUAAACCAUGGAAGAGCCUUCGAGACACAAGAAAUGGAAAGAAUGGCAAGAUUCAUCUUCUGGAGCCUUGACUUCAAAGGAGCUACCUCUGCCCUCUUCCAAAAGGAGCAGAUACCACUCUUGUGGUAAGGAAGAGGAGCAAAGCGUUGUAAAAGAACCUUUUAUGCUGUCUGUUGGAUAACUUGUUUACUGUUGGCGGAUGGGGGAACCUUCAUUAAGUUGCUAAGUAGAGUCCACUGGUCAUUUAUGCUUUAGAUCCACUUCUGUGGAAAAAUUCUGUUUAGCUUGGGUCUAAAUGUGAAAUGGAGCUCCACAUUGAUAGAAUGUGGUUUCUCGGAGCAUUUGUAUGUGCUCGAACAUUCCUGUCAGGCGUUUUUAUACUUUUAAAAUAAAAGCAGAUUGACGGAUGGAUUUUUCCAAUUAAGAUAACCAUUUAUUGCUUGCUACCAAAUGUUUAGCCAGAGACACCCUAAUGUUUUAGUCUCUUCUCCUCUAAUUUUGCAUAUACUGGUUUUACACGUGUAUUACUUCACAUAAUGUGAUGGUGAGUCUUCUAAUUAACAUUAGUAAAAAUAAAAGCAGAACUAGAACAGCUGUUAUUUUAAAAUAGCUAGGUAUCAGUGAUGGUUGUGCUAUUAUUUAGAGGCACUGGGUGAUGGACGUGCCUUAAAUGCCUUGGCUAAUCAGAAUGCUUCAAAUAAAACAAAUACUAGUGAUACCAUGGGAAGAGUGUAAAAGAACAGGCAAUUCAUCCUGAUGUACUCUUUACAGCCCGCUUAUUUUCUGUGAUUCUGAUCAGCUGAGAGUCUUUCUCUCUUCAGAAUUGAAACAACAGAGUUGACUGGAUAGAUUAAAAAGAUUAAAAUGAGACGUUUGCUGCACACUGUAAGUGUCAUGGGUUUAUACAUGGAAGCAUAAACAUUAAAUUUCAAGAUUUAACUUCAAAGGUGGAAGAUUUCUUUUAUUUCCAAGACUACAUGGAAAGUAACUGCCAGGUAACUUCUAGGAAUGCCAUUAAAUUGUUGAUGACAUUUCCAUUGCGAGUCAGACUGACAGACUAUCUUCAUGAAGUUUCUUUCCCUGGAUAUUUUCAUGAAUAAGUUAAUGGCAGUUGUGCCUAUUUUCUUAGCUCUGUGCACGGAACAAUUACCUAUUUGCACAGAUGUGGCAAGCAAAAACCGCAGAGCAGGACAAAUGCUGAGAUCAAUUCUGGAGUUUGUUCCAGGUACGGAGAGAAAACAUAUAUGUUUUAAUGCCAAGAUUCUAAAUUUCUGGAUUGUAAUUUUACCUCUCAAAUUCUGAUGACUUCAUCUUCAUUCUUGUGGUGUAUGACAUCACCAGAAGAGCCUUAAUAGUUUUGUAAGCCAUCUUGCUUAAAGGAGGAAGGGGAGAUACUAUUUUUUUUUUCUUAAGACUUCCCUACAAAAUAAUCUGUGACAGAGAAGGGUAAUUUAAGGGACUAUCUCUGCUUGUAUUGCGUAUUUGUGAAGAAGAAUAUUGAUUUGAGGAGGAUUUUGCAUAGUGUUGUUGUCCAUCAUAAUAAAUAUCUACACAGCAUAGAAUAACACUUUGACUAGAGAGACUAUUGAAGUGCAUUCCCUCAGUGUGCCACUAAUGUAUGCCUAUUUUCUGUAUCCUACAAAUAAGUAAUAAGUCUACUUUGUGGUUUAUAAAUCUGUGUCUAAUGGUUCCCACAGAAAAUCCCAAGUAAUUCUUUGCAGACUACCUUUCCUUAAUGAUGGGACAUAAGGGGUAUGUUGAUGAAAAUUAUUUCUGUUGCUUUUCAAUGAUCAGAAACAUACAACAUCUAUCAUUAUAGCAACGGUUAUUACUGUGCUGUUGCAUCAGGUUUGAAUCUUGGGAUUUGACCUCAGUAGCAAUUUUAGAUUGUAAACUUUUCUUCUCAAAGACUGACUACAAAGCAUAACUGUCUGCUAUGUUAUUUCUUUUUAGUUUGACAGCUGAAGUCCUCUCUUGACCCCACACGAUGCUUUAAUGUCAUAGAGAAUUUCCAGUGCAUCCUGUAAUAAUCCUGCCUCAAAUACCAACCAGUGAACAGUUAUGUCAGGAAAGGGGGAAUGCUCGCUAUAGAGAGGGUUAUUCUGCAAUCUUUCUGUGACACUGAAGCUGCACCUACUCUGUGAAAUGCCUGUAUAGUUAAAACUCUAGUUCUCUUAUUCUCAUAUUUGCAUAGUAGAGGUAGCAUUAAUUUGAUAGAUACCAUUGCUGCUGAUUUUAAACCUGGGACAAAACUUGGUCCAAAUUUCCCAUUCACUUUUAUGCAAAGUACCCAAUGAAAUCAAUAACUGAAACUUGUGUUUUAAUUACUGAUUUGUGUGAUUUGCCCUUUUUAUUUUAUAGAUUAAGGAAAUGAAAUGUAUGGGCAUGGCCCAUAGAUGUCUUAACAGCAAAAAAAGGGGAAAAUGUUUCAGGUAACGUACUUAGAAGAGCUCAUUCAAUUUGGAUAUGCUUGGGACCGGUCUCUAUUGGACUUUCAUCAUAAAAUCCAUGAUUUUGUUUUUAAAUUGCUUAGAAGCUUAAAUUCAGACUAGACAUUUGAUGUCUUUGCUCUGUCAAAUCCUUUGGGGGGGGGGGGGGGGAAGCUCAAGUUUCUGCAAGUCCGCUACAAGUGAAAUAGUGCCCUCCACAGAGUUGGAGAGGGGUUGGGAUGUUUGUUAGACUGCUGACUUCUAUGUAAGUACUUCCCUUUACUUACCCUGAGAAUUAAUACUACUAUGCCAUGGACUAAGGUAUUGUUUAAUAGGAAUAAAGAUAUACUAGAUAUCUCUGACACAAACAACUACUCACUCACGGUACAUAAUAAAUCAUGCUAUUUGUUGUAUGUAA